AUAUCAAUAAGCGCAGGAAAAGAAACCAACAGGGAUUGCCUCAGUAACGGCGAGUGAAGCGGCAACAGCUCAAAUUUGAAAUCUGGCCUCUCGGGGUCCGAGUUGUAAUUUGUAGAGGAUGUUUCGGGUACCGCUCCGGUUUAAAUUUCUUGGAACAGAAUGUCAGAGAGGGUGAGAAUCCCGUCUUGGACCGGCGGUAGGGCCUGCGUGAAACUCCUUCGACGAGUCGAGUUGUUUGGGAAUGCAGCUCAAAUGGAUGGGUGAAUUAACAU
rnacentral:rRNA from 1 species